rnacentral:tRNA from 4 species
GGUCCUGUGGUGUAGUGGUUAACAUGCCUGCCUGUCACGCAGGAGAUCGCCGGUUCGACCCCGGUCGGGACCGCCA